CCAGACUCCUACGGGAGGCAGCAGUGGGGAAUAUUGGACAAUGGGGGGAACCCUGAUCCAGCGACGCCGCGUGAGUGAAGAAGUAUUUCGGUAUGUAAAGCUCUAUCAGCAGGGAAGAAAGAAAUGACGGUACCUGACUAAGAAGCCCCGGCUAACUACGUGCCAGCAGCCGCGGUAAUACGUAGGGGGCAAGCGUUAUCCGGAAUUACUGGGUGUAAAGGGUGAGUAGGCGGCAUGGUAAGUCAGAUGUGAAAGCCUUGGGCUUAACCCGAGGAUUGCAUUUGAAACUGUCAGGCUGGAGUGCAGGAGAGGUAAGUGGAAUUCCUAGUGUAGCGGUGAAAUGCGUAGAUAUUAGGAGGAACACCAGUGGCGAAGGCGGCUUACUGGACUGUAACUGACGUUGAGGCUCGAAAGCGUGGGGAGCAAACAGGAUUAGAUACCCUAGUA
rnacentral:rRNA from 1 species